GAUGAACGCUGGCGGCGUGCCUAAUACAUGCAAGUCGAGCGAACGGACGAGAAGCUUGCUUCUCUGAUGUUAGCGGCGGACGGGUGAGUAACACGUGGAUAACCUACCUAUAAGACUGGGAUAACUUCGGGGAACCGUAGCUAAUACCGGAUAAUAUUUUGAACCGCAUGGUUCAAAAGUGAAAGACGGUCUUGCUGUCACUUAUAGAUGGAUCCGCGCUGCAUUAGCUAGUUGGUAAGGUAACGGCUUACCAAGGCAACGAUGCAUAGCCGACCUGAGGGGGUGAUCGGCCACACUGGAACUGAGACACGGUCCAGACUCCUACGGGAGGCAGCAGUAGGGAAUCUUCCGCAAUGGGCGAAAGCCUGACGGAGCAACGCCGCGUGAGUGAUGAAGGUCUUCGGAUCGUAAAACUCUGUUAUUAGGGAAGAACAUAUGUGUAAGUAACUGUGCACAUCUUGACGGUACCUAAUCAGAAAGCCACGGCUAACUACGUG
rnacentral:rRNA from 1 species